rnacentral:lncRNA from 1 species
AUGCAAAAGCCAACUGUCAUUCUUGAGCAACUGCAGAGGCAAAAAGCCCAGUCACCUCUGGCCUCUGCAGUUUGGCUUAUCACCAUGGAACCUUUGCCUCCUCUGAGACCAAGGCAUCACUCCAGUAACAGGAACCCACUGAAGCUUGGAACCCCAAGAAAUGCCACAGCUAUCAGGCCUGAGGACCCCUGUCUGGGCACUGGGGCCUCAUCUACAGUCCCAACUGGGCCUUCUUUUAGGAUUCAUCUUCUGGGCCACAUCUCCCAGGAAGAUCUUGCAUUCCUACUGAAACCCCUGGCCUGGCCUCCUGCAGUGCCACACUCCGUGUAUUUGACAAGCUGA